AGCGAACGCUGGCGGCAGGCUUAACACAUGCAAGUCGAGCGGGCAUCCUUGUGGUGUCAGCGGCAGACGGGUGAGUAACGCGUGGGAACGUGCCCUUCGGUUCGGAAUAACUCAGGGAAACUUGAGCUAAUACCGGAUACGCCCUUUUGGGGAAAGGUUUACUGCCGAAGGAUCGGCCCGCGUCUGAUUAGCUAGUUGGUGAGGUUACGGCUCACCAAGGCGACGAUCAGUAGCUGGUCUGAGAGGAUGAUCAGCCACACUGGGACUGAGACACGGCCCAGACUCCUACGGGAGGCAGCAGUGGGGAAUAGUGGACAAUGGGGGCAACCCUGAUCCAGCCAUGCCGGGUGAGUGAUAACAGCCUUAGGGUUGUAAAGCUCUUUUCUCCGGGACGAUAAUGACGGUACCGGAGGAAUAAGCCCCGGCUAACUUCGUG
rnacentral:rRNA from 1 species